GUUCUUUUUGACACGACAUUGCUCACAUUGCUUCCAGUGUAAUUUAUAGCUUUUAGGUAAAGCUGUGGUAUU
rnacentral:antisense_RNA from 1 species